GCAGUUGUGGCCUAAUGGUUAGAGAGUCGGGCUUGGAACUUGAAGGUGGUGGGUUCGAGUCUCAGGGAUUGUA